UCGCUGCCUGCAGCGCAGCCUGAGCCAGCAAUGCCGCGUGAGUGAUGAAGGCUUCGGGUUGUAAAGCGCUUUUAUCUGGGACGAAGAUGACGGUAGCAGGAGAAUGAGGCCCGGCUAACUCCGUGCCAGCAGCCGCGGUAAUAAUAUGUGCCAGCAGCCGCGAUAAUAAUAAA
rnacentral:rRNA from 1 species